rnacentral:rRNA from 1 species
ACUGCGAGUGAAGCGGGAAAAGCUCAAAUUUAAAAUCUGGCGGUCUUUGGCCGUCCGAGUUGUAAUCUAGAGAAGUGUUACCCGCGUCGGACCGUGUACAAGUCUCCUGGAAUGGAGCGUCAUAGAGGGUGAGAAUCCCGUCUUUGACACGGACUACCGAGACUUUGUGGUGCGCUCUCAAAGAGUCGAGUUGUUUGGGAAUGCAGCUCAAAAUGGGUGGUAAAUUCCAUCUAAAGCUAAAUAUUGGCGAGAGACCGAUAGCGAACAAGUACCGUGAGGGAAAGAUGAAAAGAACUUUGGAAAGAGAGUUAAACAGUACGUGAAAUUGCUGAAAGGGAAACGCUUGAAGUCAGUCGCGUCCUCCGGGAAUCAGCCUUCCUUCUGGUUGGUGUACUUCCUGGUGGACGGGCCAGCAUCAGUUUUGACCGGUGGAAAAAGUUGGAGGGAAUGUGGCACCUUCGGGUGUGUUAUAGCCCUCCUUCGUAUACAUCGAUUGGGACUGAGGAACUCAGCACGCCGCAAGGCCGGGAUUCGUCCACGUUCGUGC